rnacentral:rRNA from 1 species
GUCUAGUAUAAGCAAUCUAUACGGUGAAACUGCGAAUGGCUCAUUAAAUCAGUUAUCGUUUAUUUGAUAGUACCUUACUACUUGGAUAACCGUGGUAAUUCUAGAGCUAAUACAUGCUAAAAACCUCGACUUCGGAAGGGGUGUAUUUAUUAGAUAAAAAACCAAUGCCCUUCGGGGCUCCUUGGUGAUUCAUAAUAACUUAACGAAUCGCAUGGCCUUGUGCCGGCGAUGGUUCAUUCAAAUUUCUGCCCUAUCAACUUUCGAUGGUAGGAUAGUGGCCUACCAUGGUUUCAACGGGUAACGGGGAAUUAGGGUUCUAUUCCGGAGAGGGAGCCUGAGAAACGGCUACCACAUCCAAGGAAGGCAGCAGGCGCGCAAAUUACCCAAUCCCGACACGGGGAGGUAGUGACAAUAAAUACUGAUACAGGGCUCUUUUGGGUCUUGUAAUUGGAAUGAGUACAAUUUAAAUCCCUUAACGAGGAACAAUUGGAGGGCAAGUCUGGUGCCAGCAGCCGCGGUAAUUCCAGCUCCAAUAGCGUAUAUUAAAGUUGUUGCAGUUAAAAAGCUCGUAGUUGAACCUUGGGCCUGGUUGGUCGGUCCGCCUCACCGCGUGCACUGAUCCGACCGGGUCUUUCCUUCUGGGGAGCCGCAUGCCCUUCACUGGGUGUGUCGGGGAACCAGGACUUUUACUUUGAAAAAAUUAGAGUGUUCAAAGCAGGCCUAUGCUCGAAUACAUUAGCAUGGAAUAAUAGAAUAGGACGUGUGGUUCUAUUUUGUUGGUUUCUAGGACCGCCGUAAUGAUUAAUAGGGAUAGUCGGGGGCAUCAGUAUUCCGUUGUCAGAGGUGAAAUUCUUGGAUUUACGGAAGACUAACUACUGCGAAAGCAUUUGCCAAGGAUGUUUUCAUUAAUCAGUGAACGAAAG